rnacentral:SRP_RNA from 1 species
GCCAAAUGUGUGUAAUCCCAAUUACUGGGGAGGCUGAGGCUGGAGGAUUUCUUGAGCUUGGGAAUUCUGAGCUACUGUAGGGCAAGCUGAAUGGGUAUCUGUAUUAAGUUCAGCAUCACUUUGAUGAACCUCUGGGAGUAGAGGGCUACCAUGUUGUCUAAGAAGGGGCAAACUAGCCCAGGUCAGAACAGAGCAGGUCAAAGCUUUUGUGCCCACCAAAAGUGGAAUUAGGAUUCUGAACAGUCUCUUGCACUUCCAGACUGGGAGAGAUUGGGUGAGUCUUA